GUGGGUAUAAUUCAGUGGCAGAUCACAUGCUUAGCACGCAAGAGGUUCUGGGUUCAAUCCCCAGUACCUCCA
rnacentral:tRNA from 1 species